rnacentral:rRNA from 1 species
AGACACGGCCCAGACUCCUACGGGAGGCAGCAGUGGGGAAUUUUGGACAAUGGGGGAAACCCUGAUCCAGCCAUGCCGCGUGCGGGAUGAAGGCCUUCGGGUUGUAAACCGCUUUUGUCAGAGACGAAAAGGGACGUACGAAUAAUACGUUCCGCUGACGGUAUCUGAAGAAUAAGCACCGGCUAACUACGUGCCAGCAGCCGCGGUAAUACGUAGGGUGCAAGCGUUAUCCGGAAUUAUUGGGCGUAAAGGGCUCGUAGGCGGUUCGUCGCGUCCGGUGUGAAAGUCCAUCGCUUAACGGUGGAUCUGCGCCGGGUACGGGCGGGCUGGAGUGCGGUAGGGGAGACUGGAAUUCCCGGUGUAACGGUGGAAUGUGUAGAUAUCGGGAAGAACACCAAUGGCGAAGGCAGGUCUCUGGGCCGUUACUGACGCUGAGGAGCGAAAGCGUGGGGAGCGAACAGGAUUAGAUACCCUGGUAGUCCACGCCGUAAACGGUGGAUGCUGGAUGUGGGGCCCGUUCCACGGGUUCCGUGUCGGAGCUAACGCGUUAAGCAUCCCGCCUGGGGAGUACGGCCGCAAGGCUAAAACUCAAAGAAAUUGACGGGGGCCCGCACAAGCGGCGGAGCAUGCGGAUUAAUUCGAUGCAACGCGAAGAACCUUACCUGGGCUUGACAUGUUCCCGACAGCCGUAGAGAUAUGGCCUCCCUUCGGGGCGGGUUCACAGGUGGUGCAUGGUCGUCGUCAGCUCGUGUCGUGAGAUGUUGGGUUAAGUCCCGCAACGAGCGCAACCCUCGCCCUGUGUUGCCAGCACGUCAUGGUGGGAACUCACGGGGGACCGCCGGGGUCAACUCGGAGGAAGGUGGGGAUGACGUCAGAUCAUCAUGCCCCUUACGUCCAGGGCUUCACGCAUGCUACAAUGGCCGGUACAACGGGAUGCGACACGGCGACGUGGAGCGGAUCCCUGAAAACCGGUCUCAGUUCGGAUUGGAGUCUGCAACCCGACUCCAUGAAGGCGGAGUCGCUAGUAAUCGCGGAUCAGCAACGCCGCGGUGAAUGCGUUCCCGGGCCUUGUACACACCGCCCGUCAAGUCAUGAAAGUGGGUAGCACCCGAAGCCGGUGGCCUAACCUUUUUGGAUGGAGCCGUCUAAGGUGAGACUCGUGAUUGGGACUAAGUCGUAACAAGGUAGCCGUACCGGAAGGUGCGGCUG